CCGGAGUCCCACAGGCCAAAUAGGCCCAAGAGGACUCCUUCUUCAGCCUGACAGCAUCCCUCACCGAAGGUGUCCACCAACGGGUUCGAGGGUUGCUGCCACGACAUGCACCGACAACCUUGUGGCCACAGCUCAGAUGAGCUGCCUCGACAAUGGAGGCACGGAACAUGGUUCACUCAGACUCAAUGUGUUGGGAUCCGGACCUGUUCAUCCACCAGAGGGCGCUGGAGGCCUUGUUCCAUCUGAGGGCGUCUCCUGAACCACGCACCUGAAACCGUUCUGCCAUCAGGAGCUGUAUAACUGGAGGAGGCUGCUGACACUUCCCUGCCAGAUUGUUAGCUAGUUAUGGUACCGAUUCACUCCAGCUCUACUCUUCCUGUUUGCUUCCUGAAUUCUGAUCCACCUGUGUCUCUGACCUUUUUCAGCUGAUCGACCUGAGACGUGCUGAAGAUAGAUCCAGCCCAGGACCCCCUCCGAACCUACAGCUCGGCAGCCUGCUUCUGGCAGAACAGUUCAGACUUACCUGUCCGCCCUCCAACGCCGCCGCAGCCCGCAGCCCUCCGCGCCUCAAAACAGACUCCGGAUUUCCCAGGUUUUUCCCCCCAGUCCUUUCUCCUCCCGAUCGGAGCUGACCUGAGAUCCAGUCCCAAGCGCUCCCGGAUUGUUUAUCUGUUUUUUCCCCCUUCCCCUUGGUUGUAAUAAAUCUCUUUAAUCAA